GACGAACGCUGGCGGCGCGCUUAACACAUGCAAGUCGAGCGAGAACCAGGGCUUCGGCUCUGGGGACAGCGGCGAACGGGUGAGUAACACGUGAGUAAUCUGCCCUCGACACUGGGAUAGCCCGGGGAAACCCGGAUUAAUACCGGAUAGCCUUUCGAGCUCUCGGGCUCGUCAGAAAAGGAUGGCUUCGGCUUUCGGUUGAGGAUGAGCUUGCGGCGGAUUAGCUUGUUGGUGAGGAACGGCUCACCAAGGCGACAAUCCGUAGCUGGUCUGAGAGGACGAUCAGCCACACUGGGACUGAGACACGGCCCAGACUCCUACGGGAGGCAGCAGUGGGAAUCUUGCGCAAUGAGCGAAAGCUUGACNCAGCGACGCCGCGUGAGGGAAGAAGGCCU
rnacentral:rRNA from 1 species